ACGCUCGACACCUACGGGGGGCAGCAGUGGGGAAUAUUGCACAAUGGGGGAAACCCUGAUGCAGCGACGCCGCGUGAGUGAAGAAGUAUUUCGGUAUGUAAAGCUCUAUCAGCAGGGAAGAAGAUGACGGUACCUGAGUAAGAAGCCCCGGCUAACUACGUGCCAACAGCCGCGGUAAUCUGAGCGGGCUGGCAAGGC
rnacentral:rRNA from 1 species